UCCUAUCGUAGUCAUGAGUUUUCGUGUCUAAUUUCGAUUGUCCAUCUUAUUUAAUUUUUUUAUGAUUAAUAUUUUUUUAUUAAGUGAUAAAAUAUAAAUAGUAUUUUAUAUGUGACUAAUUAUUUUAACUUUUUUAUAAAUUUUUCAAAUAAGUUGGACGGUCAAACGUUGGACAUAGGAACUUGCAAUUGAA
rfam:Oryza meridionalis cultivar OR44 (W2112) chromosome 12, whole genome shotgun sequence.